UCUCCUACGGGAGGCAGCAGUGGGGAAUCUUAGACAAUGGGCGCAAGCCCUGAUCUAGCCAUGCCGCGUGAGUGAUGAAGGUCUUAGGAUCGUAAAGCUCUUUCGCYRGGGAUGAUAAUGACUGUACCYRGUAAAGAAGCCCCGGCUAACUCCGUGCCAGCAGCCGCGGUAAUACGGAGGGGAYUAGCGUUGUUCGGAAUUACUGGGCGUAAAGCGUGCGUAGGCGGAUCAGCAAGUAGGGGGUGAAAUCCCGGGGCUCAACCCCGGAACUSCCUCCAAAACUGUUGGUCUAGAGUUCGAGAGAGGUGAGUGGAAUUCCGAGUGUAGAGGUGAAAUUCGUAGAUAUUCGGAGGAACACCAGUGGCGAAGGCGGCUCACUGGCUCGAUACUGACGCUGAGGUACGAAAGUGUGGGGAGCAAACAGGAUUAGAUACCCUGGUAGUCCACACCGUAAACGAUGAAUGCCAGUCGUCGGGCAGUAUACUSUUCGGUGACACACCUAACGSAUUAAGCAUUCCGCCUGGGGAGUACGGUCGCAAGAUUAAAACUCAAAGGAAUUGACGG
rnacentral:rRNA from 1 species